CACUGCCUGGGGAGUACGGUCGCAAGGCUGAAACUUAAAGGAAUUGGCGGGGGAGCACAGCAACGAGAGGAGCGUGCGGUUUAAUUGGAUUCAACGCCGGAAAACUCACCAGUGCCGACGGACAUAUGAAGAUCAGCGUGAUGAGCUUAUUGGAUUGUUCGAGAGGUAGUGCAUGGCCGUCGUCAGUUCGUACCGUAAGGCGUUCUGUUAAGUCAGAUAACGAACGAGACCCCUAUCGUCUAUUUGCUANACGGAUCUCCGGAUUCGUCGCACUAUAGCGAGACCGCUGGCGUGAAGUCAGAGGAAGGUGGGGGCAACGACAGGUCAGUAUGCUCCGAAUGCACUGGGCUACACGCGCGCUACAAAGGCCAGGACAAUGGGUCUGCCACGCCGAGAGGCGGCGCUAUCCCGAAACCUGGUCGUAGUUCGGAUCGAGGGCUGUAAUUCGCCCUCGUGAAGCUGGAUUUCGUAGUAAUCGCGUCUCAAAAUGGCGCGGUGAAUAUGCCCCUGCUCCUUGCACACACCGCCCGUCAAACCAUCUUAGUUGGGGUUGGGUGAGGCUACCUUAUUUUGGGGUAUUCGAGCCUGUCUUCGACAAGGAGGGUUAAGUCGUAACAAGGUAUCU
rnacentral:rRNA from 1 species